UUGAUUUUUAAAAAGUGUGCAAAUUUUUAAUUGAGAUCAACGGUUUAUUCAUUAGAUAUUGAGGUUUAAAUUUGUCAAAGGAAUUACUAGGAUUUGGAUUAGGGUUUGGCUAGGAUUCGGUUUAGGGUUUGGAUUAGGAUUUGGAUUAGGGUUUGGCUAGGGUUUGGAUUAGGAUUUGGAUUAGGGUCAAGGAUUUGAUUAGGGUUGGAUUUAGGAUUUGGAUUAGAGUUUGGACUAGGAUUUGGUUAGGGUUUGAUUUAAGGUUUGGUUUAGGAUUUAGGAUUUGGAUUAGAGUUUAAGAUUGGAUUAGGGUUUGGAUUAGGAUUUGGAUUAGGAUUUAGGGUUUGGUUAGGAUUGGAUUUAAGGUUUGGUUUAGGAUUUAGGGUUUGGUUUAGGGUUUAGGGUUUGGAAUAGGAUUAAAUUUAAGAUUUGUUUAGGAUUUGACUUAAGGUUUAGGAAUUAUUAGGGUUUAAGAUUUAAUUAAGUUUGAUUUAAAGUUGAGUGA
rnacentral:lncRNA from 1 species